AAGCCUGAUCCAGCCAUGCCGCGUGUGUGAAGAAGGACCUUUUGGUUGUAAAGCACUUUAAGCGAGGAGGAGGCUACUCUAGUUAAUACCUAGAGAUAGUGGACGUUACUCGCAGAAUAAGCACCGGCUAACUCUGUGCCCAGCAGCCGCGGUAAUACAGAGGGUGCGAGCGUUAAUCGGAUUUACUGGGCGUAAAGCGUGCGUAGGCGGCUGAUUAAGUCGGAUGUGAAAUCCCUGAGCUUAACUUAGGAAUUGCAUUCGAUACUGGUCAGCUAGAGUAUGGGAGAGGAUGGUAGAAUUCCAGGUGUAGCGGUGAAAUGCGUAGAGAUCUGGAGGAAUACCGAUGGCGAAGGACAGCCAUCUGGCCUAAUACUGACGCUGAGGUACGAAAGCAUGGGGAGCAAACAGGAUUAGAUACCCUGGUAG
rnacentral:rRNA from 1 species